rnacentral:tRNA from 1 species
GUCUGGGUGGUGUAGUUGGUUAUCACGUUAGUCUCACACAUCUAAAGGUCCCCAGUUCGAACCUGGGCUCAGACA